rnacentral:tRNA from 1 species
GCGGGCGUAGCACAAUGGUAGUGCAUCUGCCUUCCAAGCUGAUUACGUGGGUUCGAUUCCCAUCGCCCGCUCCA